GAGUUUAAUCCUGGCUCAGGAUGAACGCUGGCGGCGUGCUUAACACAUGCAAGUCGAACGAGGAAUUUUAAAUGAGACUUCGGUGGAUUUUAAAAUUCUUAGUGGCGGACGGUUGAGUAACGCGUGGGCAACCUGCCCUGUACAGGGGGGACAACAGCUGGAAACGGCUGCUAAUACCGCAUAAGACCACGGAGCCGCAUGGCUCAGUGGGAAAAACUCCAGUGGUACAGGAUGGGCCCGCGUUGGAUUAGGUAGUUGGUGAGGUAACGGCCCACCAAGCCGACGAUCCAUAGCCGACCUGAGAGGGUGACCGGCCACGUUGGGACUGAGACACGGCCCAAACUCCUACGGGAGGCAGCAGUGGGGAAUCUUCCGCAAUGGGCGAAAGCCUGACGGAGCAACGCCGCGUGAGUGAAGAAUUAUUUCGGUAUGUAAAGCUCUAUCAGCAGGGAAGAAAAUGACGGUACCUGACUAAGAAGCCCCGGCUAACUACGUGCCAGCAGCCGCGGUAAC
rnacentral:rRNA from 1 species